rnacentral:rRNA from 1 species
GAUGAACGCUGGCGGCGUGCCUAAUACAUGCAAGUCGAACGCUGAAGGAGGAGCUUGCUCUUCUGGAUGAGUUGCGAACGGGUGAGUAACGCGUAGGUAACCUGCCUGGUAGCGGGGGAUAACUAUUGGAAACGAUAGCUAAUACCGCAUGACAACAGUUAUUGCAUGAUAACUGUUUAAAAGGGGCAACUGCUCCACUACCAGAUGGACCUGCGUUGUAUUAGCUAGUUGGUGAGGUAACGGCUCACCAAGGCGACGAUACAUAGCCGACCUGAGAGGGGGAUCGGCCACACUGGGACUGAGACACGGCCCAGACUCCUACGGGAGGCAGCAGUAGGGAAUCUUCGGCAAUGGACGGAAGUCUGACCGAGCAACGCCGCGGGAGUGAAGAAGGGUUUCGGAUCGUAAAGCUCUGUUGUAAGAGAAGAACGAGUGUGAGAGUGGAAAGUUCACACUGUGACGGUAUCUUACCAGAAAGGGACGGCUAACUACGUG